rnacentral:rRNA from 1 species
AUCCUAACCAAACUCCGAAUACCCGGGAGUACUAGAUGGCAGACACACAGCGGAUGCUAACGUCCGUUGUGGAGAGGGAAACAACCCUGACCGCCAGUUAAGGUCCCUAAGUUAUGGCUAAGUGGGAAAGGAUGUAGGACUCCCAAAACAACCAGGAUGUUGGCUUAGAAGCAGCCAUCAUUUAAAGAAAGCGUAACAGCUCACUGGUCUAAAUAAGGGUUUCUGCGCCGAAAAUGUAACGGGGCUAAAGCCAUACACCGAAGUCGCGGGCUCGCAAGAGCGGUAGCAGAGCGUUCCGCAAGUCAGUGAAGGGAUACCCGCGAGGGAUCCUGGAGAUACCGGAAGUGCGAAUGUUGACAUGAGUAACGAUAAAGGGGGUGAGAGACCCCCUCGCCGAAAGUCCAAGGGUUCCUGCUUAAAGCUAAUCUGAGCAGGGUGAGCCGGCCCCUAAGGCGAGGCCGAAAGGCGUAGUCGAUGGGAACCAGGUUAAUAUUCCUGGGCC